rnacentral:rRNA from 1 species
CUCGGGUUGUAAAGCUCUUUUGUCAGGGAAGAAACGGAGUUCUCUAAUAUAGGAUUCUAAUGACGGUACCUGAAGAAUAAGCACCGGCUAACUACGUGCCAGCAGCCGCGGUAAUACGUAGGGUGCAAGCGUUAAUCGGAAUUACUGGGCGUAAAGCGUGCGCAGGCGGUUUUGUAAGUCUGAUGUGAAAUCCCCGGGCUCAACCUGGGAACUGCAUUGGAGACUGCAAGGCUAGAGUGUGUCAGAGGGGGGUAGAAUUCCACGUGUAACAGUGAAAUGCGUAGAGAUGUGGAGGAAUACCGAUGGCGAGGGCAGCCCCCUGGGAUAACACUGACGCUCAUGCACGAAAGCGUGGGGAGCAAACAGGAUUAGAUACCCUGGUAGUCCACGCCCUAAACGAUGUCUACUAGUUGUCGGGACUUAAUUGUCUUGGUAACGCAGCUAACGCGUAAGUAG